GGAGGAGGCGAGCAAGAAACUGGAGAGGCUGGAGGAGGAGAAGCAAGCAAUUCUGGCACAGAUGACUGAGCUGAAGAAAAUAUUGUAUGGGAAGUUCAAGGAUUCUAUCAACUUAGAGGAGGAUUGACCACAGUGGUCUUGGCUCUUUCACCUCAGGCCCUGUUUUGACAGUGUACUUUUAAGUUUUUCUCUCCUUUUGCCCAACUGUGGUGGUUCG
rnacentral:misc_RNA from 1 species